rnacentral:lncRNA from 10 species
CGAUUCUGGGAGAGGAGGUGCUCGGAGGAAAGGGCGGGGGUUGCUGAUGUAAUGGGGAGAAGUGAUUAAUCCUUCGGUUCGCCGUUUCAGCUUCCCCCCUACCCCAACCUUCACCCGAUUUUUUUGAGCUGAAAAAAAAGUGGAACGAGGGAGCCAAUCUUUGGUCCCACAAACUGCAAGGAAAAGAAAAACCCUCAACAGGAAUUACCUUUAUACCUGAUGCCCCCAACAUAAUCUCUCUCCAAGGGAAACGUGUUUUUAUUGCCUUGCGGCUGAAAAUGUAUUCUCGAUUCUCCCCCUUCUCUCUUUUGUUGUGCAUUUUUUGGAUGUGGUAAAACUGGCAGUUUAUCUGAUUAUCUGGUUUUCAGAACUUUGGGCGAUGUCUCUGAGUGUCAUCAGUUGCUCUCUAGGUUUGACAUAGAUAAUUAAGCAACUACAAAGCGUGAUAAAGCUUUUGAGAGGGAGGAAAAUGUAUUUUGGAAGGAGGGAGAGACGCAAAGAGGCGAGCCUGUGUGUUGAGUCCCAGACUUGGUGUGUGACUACAGGCAAAGUACUUCACCUUUCUAGAUGUCAGCCCCGCCCCCCUCACCUCCCAAGUUUAAAUAAGAACUUAUUUUAGACUACAUGAUCCUGUUUUCAAUUUUUAAGAGUUCUGU